UGUAUCAGAACACAACUGCCUUAAAGAUUGGCUCAAUUUUCAGUAAUCCUGCAUUUGUUGAUGAGGAGAAGAAUCUCUGUUGGGGAAGAUGUUGCAUCCUGCAGCUACCGAACUGAAAUAAAUAAGGAGCAUCCUCUCUGCCCCAGUUUGCCAUGAACAGACUCUUACACAAGAACCAGACUUCUAUUCCAUGAGGGAACUAGAAUGGAAAAAAUAUUGAAAACAAUUUUACUCCUGAAGAGAAGGAUUACAAAUAUUAGAAUGGACUCAAUAGGUGGCACUCUUACCUCUGAGCUGGGUUCGUGUAACUCUGUUACAUGGAGAGAGACAGAAUACAAGAAAAGCUCAAACAAACAAGAGUUUUUUUUCUAUCAGAGGCUCAAUAGACAUUUGGAUCCUGUUUUGGAACUUACCAUAGGAGGAAUUAUUACUGAGAGCUUCAGAGAACUAUUAAAUCACAAGAGCUUCAGGAAAAAAUAGAAAAGAAAAAGAAAAAAAGAAGUCUAAGAACCCAAACAAUCCAUCAAAAUGGAGAAGAGUACUGUAUUCUGUCCUUCUGCAAAAAGACCAUGUGCAUCUUUACUGAAAUUCAUACAAAAACACCAUCAGAGAUAUCCCUACUUCAUCUAACAGGUCUCUGGGACUCAGUCAUUUCUAAAGCAUUUUUGGAUUGUUUUCUUUAAUAUAGUGCAAAGGUUUUUUGUUUUGUUAGAAGAUAUAAGACAAAGCUUUCACUUGUGAGUUGCAUCUGGAUGAAACAAGUCAUGAUAUGUUUAAAUAAAUAAACAAAUGAAGACUUAUCUGCUGAUAUAAUGACAUUUGUCAAGGUGCACAUUUGACUUCUAACAGAUUUUUUGAACUUUUCUUAAAUUUCAACUACAGCACAUACUGCACACACUUCAUUUUUUUUCAACAUUAAACCUCAUAGAAGCUUGGGAAGAAGUAAUGCUAUGUAAUGCACAGGAGGUUGUAGUGCAUGACACAUUUGCUUUUUCAAUUUCUUAUGGUGGAUGUUUUUGUAAAACCUUUGAACUGCAACUUCAUUCUAAUAAGAGGAAAAAUAUCCUGUUUAAUCAAUAAGACAUGGUAGUGGAUAAGCGCAUAUUCAUGAUCAAAGCUGCUUGUUCUAAGUGAACAUCUUCUGGUACUGUUCAAAUAAUGCAAAGUCUGAACAGAAGAAUGAAAUUUUAUUAUAAAAUAGUACUUUUUGUUUAAAAAAAUUACAUAAUGUUAAUUAAAAGAACAGGUU
ensembl:lncRNA